rnacentral:rRNA from 1 species
UGGGGAAUUUUGGACAAUGGGCGCAAGCCUGAUCCAGCAAUGCCGCGUGCAGGAUGAAGGCCUUCGGGUUGUAAACUGCUUUUGUACGGAGCGAAAAGGUCUGCCCUAAUACGGUGGGCUCAUGACGGUACCGUAAGAAUAAGCACCGGCUAACUAUGUGCCAGCAGCCGCGGUAAUACGUAGGGUGCGAGCGUUAAUCGGAAUUACUGGGCGUAAAGCGUGCGCAGGCGGUUAUAUAAGACAGGUGUGAAAUCCCCGGGCUCAACCUGGGACCUGCAUUUGUGACUGUAUAGCUAGAGUACGGUAGAGGGGGAUGGAAUUCCGCGUGUAGCAGUGAAAUGCGUAGAUAUGCGGAGGAACACCGAUGGCGAAGGCAAUCCCCUGGACCUGUACUGACGCUCAUGCACGAAAGCGUGGGGAGCAAACA